AUUGAACGCUGGCGGCAUGCUUUACACAUGCAAGUCGAACGGCAGCGCGGGCUUCGGCCUGGCGGCGAGUGGCGAACGGGUGAGUAAUAUAUCGGAACGUACCCAAGAGUGGGGGAUAACGUAGCGAAAGUUACGCUAAUACCGCAUACGGUCUAAGGACGAAAGCAGGGGAUCGCAAGACCUUGUGCUCCUGGAUCGGCCGAUAUCUGAUUAGCUAGUUGGUGAGGUAAAGGCUCACCAAGGCAACGAUCAGUAGCUGGUCUGAGAGGACGACCAGCCACACUGGAACGGAGACACGGUCAAGACUCCUACGGGAGGCAGCAGUGGGGAAUAUUGGACAAUGGGGGCAACCCUGAUCCAGCCACGCCGCGUGAGUGAUGAAGGCCUUCGGGUCGUAAAGCUCUGUGGGGAGGGACGAACGUCCCGUUGAAGAAACGGGGGUGACGGUACCUCCUUAGCAAGCACCGGCUAACUCCGUGCCAGCCGCCGCGGUAACAC
rnacentral:rRNA from 1 species